UUGCUGGCUGCAAGUCAGAUUCUCUUUGUGUUGGUGCUGGACACUAUUGUGCGAGUUGGGCUUCACUUUUCAUGCAGGGUAAUUUCUAGAAGGUUGUGUCUACUCUUCACGGAGGACACAGGCUUCUGCAUGGAGUUUUAACAUUUGUGAUCACCUCAUUGUGACCUGAGCUGAUGGGCUGCAUUGGUAAAUUUCUUAAUAUGCACAUUUUCCAUUGAAUGUUUUAUAUGUUGUAUGUUGUUGUAUGAACAUUCACCUUUUUGCCCUCAUGUGUCAAUGAGCUGUGGACAGUUGAGCAUAUUGAAAAGUAGGCCUAUAUUUUCUAGCUAUGUUUGAGUAUGUAGCCAGUUGCAUUCUCGCUCUGUGUCUCCUCCUGCUUACCUUACACACUGGUCUCUAACGAAGGGGGCGGGGCAGGCAUGUAGCUAUCCAUUCAUUCAGAUCCUGGUAUUAGGCCAUGGUAUAAAGGUGCCUAGUAGGUCGGACUGUCUUCCUCUCGGUCUCUCGCUCGGUUUGUCCCUGGGUUUCACGCAGGAGCCAAUCGCCAGGUAUGUUGCAAUUUCGCUGCAUUGGUUAAGCUAUUCAUGCCUAGUUUUAAUACUUUACUCUUUCCAUCUGUAGCUCUGCGUCUCCCUUACUCUGCUGUGGCUGUAUGGAACCUGACCUGUCUAGCAUUAGAUAACUCUCCCCUGCAGGUAUGCAUUUCCAAAUAUUUAUCUCCCUUUAUUAGCCUUACGGAGUCUUAAUUGCUCUUUGUUUAUGUAUGCUUGCAGCUUAUGACGACGGCACGGCAUGUCUGUUUUAAGCGUUCUUUAGGCCUACUGGCUAAUCAGUGACUGCAAGUGUUUGGUAUGUAUGAAACCGGAAUGUUGUAGCUUUUGGUGUGGCAUUUGAGACACUUUGAUACACUCUAAGUGUUGACUAUUUAUGUUACAGGUAGCAUGGCUUCAAGUUUGCUUGUUUAGUGCGGUCACGCUGCUGUCUUGUCCAUAGCAUUAGUUUUCACUUAUUUUUGUGUUUACGUCAUCACAGCUCCUCCGUGUCGCGGUAGCUGACCUGUUUGUGUUGCUCUUUGCUUGAUUGGGAUUUCCCAGGCGGGUUUGUUUUUGUUUGUUUUUGUUUGCUGGUCUGUUUUGCUUUUGCCUUAGUGUGUGUGUAAUCGUGUUUUCUGAGUUUGUAGUGUGUCUGCAUGCUUAGCUUUUAUCCCAGCGAGGAUUAUUUCCCUGGCUCAAUAGCUUUACAUCUUUAAUUGGUAUAACCUACAUGCUGGUGUUUGUGGUUGCUGUGCUCCUUUUUGAUCAGUUUAUGUGUUGGCAGGCCUGUGGGUUAUCUUCGGCGGGGGGUAACUAGUCACCUGGUGGCGGGCUUGUGAACUUCACUUUGGAGUGUACUAUGGAAUAUCGGUGGUGGUUUGCUGUGACAAUGGUGUAACACUUUUCUGCAGUGAGAGUGCACGUGUGGACACCUUCCUUGAUAGUCUGCUUCCCCCCAUCCAGGGACCAGGCCAGCCACUGUUUUCCUGCUAUCGCUGUACAAGGCCGGAUCCACACUGAUGCUUUGCCCCUUCUUGCCAAGGGACCACAUUGGGAGACACUGUCUUGGUGUGUACUAUAACUACAACACGGUGUGACAUUUUGUAGUGGUAUCGAAAGACCUUAAGUGUGUAGUGCUUGCUGCAACAGGACACGUGUGACAUUUUGUAGUGGUAUCUGAAGAUCUUGAGUGUAGUGCUUGCUGUGUUGCUUCGUCUGGUGUUGGGUUGCUGUCUCCUGUUUUUUCUGUCUCACCAUUGUCCUCCUGAGCAGGGGUUUUGCACUGGCCGAUCCGACCUUCCUAGACUGAGGAAAAUCCACCAGUUUAUAGCAGUAUUUUAAGAUUUAGAACUUUUCUACUCCUUUUGUACUAAAUUGUAAUACAUUUGAAAUACACGUACAUAUCUGCCUCUUGUCUACUGUCCCUUUGCGGGGAACAUAUAGAAUUAGCCACACUACAUUCAGGGAAAGAUCUGUGGGUCCUCCUGCCAAUCAUCAGGGGGUGGCGUAGUCAGACUGUAAAGGUAUACCGCUUGACGGGUACCACACAAUUAAAUGAAAAUAAAAACAUGACCUGUGCAGGUCAGUUGUAACACCAGUAUCUAUGGCAAAAUGAACUGAUUUUAUCGCGCAUGCGCGAACAUUCUCAUUGCGAGUUAUGGAUUAUGAUUUUUGUGCCGCGAUCACCCAAUUAAAGUUAACACAGCAACUUGAAAUAUCACUGUUGGACCAAAUGCUUCAGACAUGUAAGAAAUAAGCAGUUUAUCAACUAUAUUUACUGGUUUUAUCAAGUGGAUAUGGCCAUAAUAUUUAGCAUAUUUUUGUGAG